CCUACGGGGGGCAGCAGUAGGGAAUCUUUCACAAUGGGCGAAAGCCUGAUGGAGCAACGCCGCGUGCAGGAUGAAGGCCUUCGGGUUGUAAACUGCUUUUAUAAGCGAGAAAUAUGAUGGUAACUUAUGAAUAAGGAUCGGCUAACUACGUGCCAGCAGCCGCGGUCAUACGUAGGAUCCGAGCAUUAUCCGGAGUGACUGGGUGUAAAGAGUUGCGUAGGUGGCAUAAGAAGUAGCUAGUGAAAUCUGGUGGCUCAACCAUUCAGACUAUUAGCUAAACUGUUAAGCUCGAGACCGUUAGGGGUAACUGGAAUUUCUAGUGUAGGAGUGAAAUCCGUAGAUAUUAGAAGGAACACCAAUAGCGUAGGCAGGUUGCUGGGACGGUUCUGACACUAAGGCACGAAAGCGUAGGGAGCAAACGGGAUUAGAUACCCGAGUAGUC
rnacentral:rRNA from 1 species